UGCAUGUCACCCUGUUUUCUUUCCUCCCUCCCAAUUUAGAUGUAUGCUCAUAAGGUCCACGAGCACAGGAUUCCAGUGUGCCCACAAUAAGUUAAAGUUUCAAGAGGCUCAAAUUAAGUGCACAAACACUGAAUGGCAAAUUAAAAAAUACCAUGACAAGAGAGACCAUGAAGGAAAGAAAUCCUUAAAAGCAGAGAGACUUCCCUGUCUGCAGUCAGAGAAAGAGGUUCGACUGCAGAUUGGUCAGAGAUACAACACUGGUG